rnacentral:tRNA from 1 species
AAUAUGAAUUAAAUUUAAUUUCGACUUAAAUAAAGAAUAUAUAAAUAUUCUCAUAUUU